UUUAAUACUUGGCAAACUUGCUGAAAAGCAAGGACGCAAAGCUACAGGGCCUUCCCUCAAAGAGGAUGGCAGCCAGUUGCCUGA
rfam:Lachnospiraceae bacterium 3_1_57FAA_CT1 genomic scaffold acsNT-supercont1.1, whole genome shotgun sequence.